CAAGGUGUAGUUUAACCAAAACACCCCGCCUACACCGAGAAAAUGUCUGUGCAAACCGCACCACCUUGAGCCUAAACCUUAGCCCAACCUACAACAUAUGCCCCCCCCACCCCCACACCCCCAACAAAAACUAAAACAUUCCAAAACUCUAGUAAAGGCGAUUGAAAAACUCUUUGGCGCUAUAAUUAAGUACCGCAAGGGAACAAUGAAAUAGAAAUGAAAUAAAACUAAAGCACAGAAUAGUAGAGAUAUACCCUCGUACCUUUUGCAUCAUGGUCUAGCUAGUCUAACCAAGCAAAAAGAAUUACAGUUUGACCCCCCGAAACUAAGCGAGCUACCCCGAGGCAGCUUUAAGCGCCAACCCGUCUCUGUGGCAAAAGAGUGGGAAGACCUCCGGGUAGAGGUGACAGACCUAUCGAGCCUAGUGAUAGCUGGUUACUCAGGAAAAGGAUAUUAGUCCUACCUUAAAUAUUUAUAUACACACACAAGUGAAUAAGAAAUUUAAGAGCUAUUCAAGUAGGGUACAGCCUGCUUGAAAAAGGAUACAACCUAGAACACAGGGUAAUAAUUCAGGUAAAGUAACCAAGUAGGCCUAAGAGCAGCCACCUUUUGAACAGCGUCAAAGCUUAAUUACUUCCAACCUCACAAUCCCACAAUCCUCAUAGAACCCUUCAAUUGUACUGAGUGAUUCUAUACCACUAUAGAAGCCACCAUGCUAGAACUAGUAAUAAGAAGCAGCCCUUCUCUUAAAUGUAAGUGUAAACCACAACGGACCCCCCACUGGUAGUUAACGCCAAUGAGCCCACAGUAGAAACCCGACCACAAGAAAAACCUACUACAACCUGCGUUAAUCUAACACAAGAACAUUUCAAGAAAGAUUAAAAGGAGUGGAAGGAACUCGGCAAACAUUAACCCCGCCUGUUUACCAAAAACAUCGCCUCUUGCCACAAUAUAAGAGGUCCAGCCUGCCCAGUGACUCUGUUUAACGGCCGCGGUAUUCUGACCGUGCAAAGGUAGCGUAAUCACUUGUUCUUUAAAUAAGGACUAGUAUGAAUGGCCCCACGAGGGUUAUACUGUCUCCCCCCCCUAAUCAAUGAAACUAAUCUCCCCGUGAAGAAGCGGGGAUGACCCUAUAAGACGAGAAGACCCCAUGGAGCUUUAAACAACAUAGCACAUGUUAACACCCCCCCACACUCCCCCCAGUCUAACAUUCCCUGUCUAUUAGUUUUCGGUUGGGGUGACCGCGGAAAUAAAACACAACUUCCACGAUGAAUGGAGAUUUAUCCUUAACUAAAAGCUACCACUUUAAGUAUCAGCAGUCUGACAUCCAUUGACCCAAUACAAUUGAUCAACGAACCAAGUUACCCUGGGGAUAACAGCGCAAUCCAUUUCAAGAGCCCCUAUCGACAAAUGGGUUUACGACCUCGAUGUUGGAUCAGGGUACCCAAGUGGUGCAGCCGCUACUAACGGUUCGUUUGUUCAACGAUUAAAACCCU
rnacentral:rRNA from 1 species